GAUGAACGCUGGCGGCGUGCCUAAUACAUGCAAGUCGAGCGAACAGACGAGGAGCUUGCUCCUCUGACGUUAGCGGCGGACGGGUGAGUAACACGUGGAUAACCUACCUAUAAGACUGGGAUAACUUCGGGAAACCGGAGCUAAUACCGGAUAAUAUAUUGAACCGCAUGGUUCAAUAGUGAAAGACGGUUUUGCUGUCACUUAUAGAUGGAUCCGCGCCGCAUUAGCUAGUUGGUAAGGUAACGGCUUACCAAGGCAACGAUGCGUAGCUGACCUGAGAGGGUGAUCGGCCACACUGGAACUGAGACACGGUCCAGACUCCUACGGGAGGCAGCAGUAGGGAAUCUUCCGCAAUGGGCGAAAGCUUGACGGAGCAACGCCGCGUGAGUGAUGAAGGUCUUCGGGUCGUAAAACUCUGUUAUUAGGGAAGAACAAAUGUGUAAGUAACUAUGCACGUCUUGACGGUACCUAAUCAGAAAGCCACGGCUAACUACGUG
rnacentral:rRNA from 1 species